rnacentral:lncRNA from 1 species
GUGGAAAUAGGGGUGUGAGAACUACAACAAAGUUUCCAGUGGGUUCGGCAACCAACCACGCCGACUAUCCCACUAGGUCUAAUCAGGCAUAAUAGAAUAAAGGAAAGUAAGUAACCAACUAGCAAAUGCACUAAUAUGCCUGAACAAUAUAAAUGAUAUGCACAAUAUAAUGCUCAUGAUGAAUGCAAGAUCAUAGUGUCAAUACCCAAUCUCUUGGCUAACCCGUAGGUUUCGCCCUCAACAAACUCACCAACUCAAAAUCCCAAUAAUCGGGGAGAUACCCGCUACAACCCGAUGGGACCGUCCUCUGGGGAGAUACCCGCUAC